rnacentral:rRNA from 1 species
UACGAAGGGGGCUAGCGUUGCUCGGAAUCACUGGGCGUAAAGCGCGCGUAGGCGGCUUGGUAAGUCAGGGGUGAAAUCCUGGAGCUCAACUCCAGAACUGCCUUUGAUACUGGCGAUCUUGAGUCCGGGAGAGGUGAGUGGAACUGCGAGUGUAGAGGUGAAAUUCGUAGAUAUUCGCAAGAACACCAGUGGCGAAGGCGGCUCACUGGCCCGGUACUGACGCUGAGGUGCGAAAGCGUGGGGAGCAAACAGG